UCUUCCCCGUGCUUGUUACUCCUCGUGCUUCCUCGUGCUCCCAGUGGAUUUUGUUUUGUUUCUUUGAUUUUGAUUCCGGUGUUUAAGUUCUACUGACAUGUUAUGGAUGGACGAUGGGCUGGUGUAGCACAGCUGACCAGACUCACCUCUCACUAUAGCAGCCCAACCCUUCAGAUUAAGGUAGGCCAAUAGGAGGCCUGCAGGUCAGUCCUAAGGAGGAAGAGCGAAUGCUGCCAUUUACAGGCUGGAGUCACGCAGAGAAGGAGC